AUUGAACGCUGUCGGCAUGCUUUACACAUGCAAGUCGAACGGUAACAGGUUAAGCUGACGAGUGGCGAACGGGUGAGUAAUGCAUCGGAACGUGCCCGGUCGUGGGGGAUAACGCAGCGAAAGCUGCGCUAAUACCGCAUACGAUCUGAGGAUGAAAGCGGGGGACCGUAAGGCCUCGUGCGAUCGGAGCGGCCGAUGUCAGAUUAGGUAGUUGGUGGGGUAAAGGCUCACCAAGCCAACGAUCUGUAGCUGGUCUGAGAGGGCGACCAGCCACACUGGGACUGAGACACGGCCCAGACUCCUACGGGAGGCAGCAGUGGGGAAUUUUGGACAAUGGGCGAAAGCCUGAUCCAGCAAUGCCGCGUGCAGGAAGAAGGCCUUCGGGUUGUAAACUGCUUUUGUACGGAGCGAGAAGGUCUCCUCUAAUACAGGGGGCUCAUGACGGUACCGUAAGAAUAAGCACCGGCUAACUACGUGCCAGCCGCCGCGGUAA
rnacentral:rRNA from 1 species